AGGCUGCUGCCUGAGGAUCAAUAGUUGGGGAGGGGGUAAGGGACAUUCUGCUACCCAUACUGUGCAUAUUGGGAGGCUGCCGCCGGCAUCUUUCAACUUCUUGUCACCGGCCAGCUCCAUCUUCUGCAGGAGCUCCAGCCAGCUCCGAUCCUCCUGUCCGUGCGAGACCAGAGCUGAAGAAUUGCCUGAAGAACCUGCUGUCCUGGGGGAAUCCCAUUCACAACCAGCGAGAUCCAGUGUCUGCCAACAUCAGGAGCGGCAUGUGAAGGUGCAAAACAUGGAGAUGCAGAUGAAUGCCUAAGCAGAGACCAGGCGCCAGGAAAGAAGACACUAGUAAACAAGGAUUGCAGACUAUUCCAACUGCUUUACUGAGGUAUUACUAGGUAAACAAUAUUGCAGACUAUUCCAACUGCUUUUACUGAAGUAUUACUAGGUAAACAAUAUUGCAGACUAUUCCAACUGAAGUAUUACUAGGUAAAUAAUAUUGCAGACUAUUCCAACUUAUAUUGCAUUGUUAAAACUUUAGAAAGCUGUUGUAAGUGGAUUUAUAACUGUACUAUCCAAAUAACUUAUAGUGAUAGACAGGGGCAUCUCUAGAGAGGAGGGGACACAGUGUUAUACCUGUGUUAAACCGAAGGAAAACGGAAGGCAAACACACCAACUAUAAAACGAAAGUACUGCAUUACAACCACAAAACUCAGGAUCAUUAUAUGGCCUUUCUUCACCUAUACCAUGUGAUCUCCAGGAGCAGGCUUACCACCUCUCCGGCUGAAAACAUAAAGUCUGCCCCUGGUCCUAGCCCUCAAGAUGAGCAGGGAACUGUGUGGGGAGAACACUUGGAUCAGGCUCA